rnacentral:lncRNA from 10 species
ACAACAAAAGCCACAGGCUCUGACAGGACCGGUCUGUCCAUUUCUACUGGCGACUGCCGCUCCCGGGCAGCAGCUUGGGUCCCCGCGCUGCGGCCUGCGCGUGGCAGGGCGGAUGCCGCCGCCGCCGCCGCCGCCGCCGCGCCCGGGCGGCCUCCUAGAGGAGGCGAAACGUGGGGGCGAGGCCGGGACCCACCUCCCAGGGCUGCGGUGAGCACUUACAGUAUUGGCGCGAAAAGGCCAGCUAUCACCAUACGGGUAUUUCGCCUCACUCGCCUCGCUGGGGGAAAUUCAAAUCUCCGAAAAGGGAGGAUCCGAGCAGCGCCGGUGCGCCUGCGCGCAGGGCGGGACUCGAAGCCUGGGAAGCGGGCGGGGCGAGGUGACGCGAGAUGACGCGGACGCCUCCCGCGGUCGCCCGCCCGGCUCGUGCGCCACCGGCCCGACUGCGGGCCUCUCGGCAGUGGGGGCGGCCGAGCGCGCGGCGGUCUGGGGCGCGCGGCCCGGCUCAUUUUGCUGCGGCGCGGGCGGAGGCGGUGGCGCCCGAGGGCGGGCCCCGCAGCCUGGGAGCCUGGGAGCGGGCGGAGGCUCCA